rnacentral:rRNA from 1 species
GUGGGGAAUAUUGGGCAAUGGGCGCAAGCCUGACCCAGCAACGCCGCGUGAAGGAAGAAGGCUUUCGGGUUGUAAACUUCUUUUACCAGGGACGAAACAAAUGACGGUACCUGGUGAAUAAGCCACGGCUAACUACGUGCCAGCAGCCGUGGUAAUACGUAGGUGGCGAGCGUUAUCCGGAUUUAUUGGGUGUAAAGGGCGUGUAGGUGGGACAGCAAGUCAGAUGUGAAAACCAGAGGCUCAACCUCUGGCCUGCAUUUGAAACUGUUGUUCUUGAGUGUCGGAGAGGUAAUCGGAAUUCCGUGUGUAGCGGUGAAAUGCGUAGAUAUACGGAGGAACACCAGUGGCGAAGGCGGAUUACUGGACGAUAACUGACGCUGAGGCGCGAAAGCGUGGGGAGCAAACAGGAUUAGAAACCCUUGUAGUCC